rnacentral:rRNA from 1 species
UUAGAGUGCUCAAAGCAGGCUAACUUAAGAGCCUGAAUGAUGGUGCAUGGAAUAAUGUAAAAGGACCUCGGUUCUAUUUUGUGGGCUUUCGGAACCCGAGGUAAUGAUUAAUAGAAGCAGGCGGGGGUAUUCGUACUGCGACGAUAGAGGUGAAAUUCUUAGACCGUCGCAUGACGAACUAAAGCGAARGCAUUUGCCAAGGAUGUUUUCAUUAAUCAAGAACGAAAGUUAGAGGUUCGAAGGCGAUCAGAUACCGCCCUAGUUCUAACCAUAAACGAUGCUAACUAGCGAUCCGCCGAAGUUAUUCCCAUGACUCGGCGGGCAGCUUCCGGGAAACCAAAGUAUUUGAGUUCCGGGGGAAGUAUGGUUGCAAAGCUGAAACUUAAAGGAAUUGACGGAAGGGCACCACCAGGAGUGGAGCCUGCGGCUCAAUUUGACUCAACACGGGGAAUCUUACCAGGCCCGGACACUGGAAGGAUUGACAGAUUGAAAGCUCUUUCUUGAUUCGGUGGGUGGUGGUGCAUGGCCGUUCUUAGUUGGUGGAGUGAUUUGUCUGGUUAAUUCCGAUAACGAACGAGACUCUAGCCUAUUAACUAGUCGACGGAUUAUUCCUUUUUACACAAUAUUAAAUCCGUGCGAGUUCCUAUGUAUGUAUGAAUUAAAAACGGUGUCUAGCUCGCAGCUUCUUCUUAGAGGGAUAAGCGGCAGCAAAAAAAAUACUAGCCGCACGAGAGAUUGAGCCAUAACAGGUCUGUGAUGCCCUUAGAUGUCCUGGGCCGCACGCGCGCUACAAUGGAGAGUUCAGCAAGCUCUCCAUCCUCCGACAGGAGUGGGUAACCUCAUUAAAGCUGUCCUUAAAGGGGAUUGGGGCUUGCAAAUGUGUCCCAUGAACGAGGAAUUCCCAGUAGGCGCAGUUCACUAGAUUGCACCGAUUUAGUCCCUGCCCUUUGUACACACCGCCCGUCGCUACUACCGAUUGAAUGGCCUAGUAAGGACAUCGGACUGGCGUUCUUGGAGUGGCCUCUCAUACCUCGUUAUCAUCCCCCUUUUUCUUAUAAGUUUCUAAUAUAGUUUCUUUUAGGAGGGGGGGAGAGGGGUUGGGAGUUAAGCCUUCCUCGAGUCGACGGAAAGAUGCCCGAGCUGGGUCAUUUAGAGGAAGUAAAAGUCGUAACAAGGUUUCCGU